AGGGAUGUAGUUCAAAUUGGUAGAGCAUCGGUCUCCAAAACCGGUAGUUGAGGGUUCAAAUCCCUCCAUCCCUG
rnacentral:tRNA from 1 species